CCUACGGGAGGCAACAGUGGGGGAUAUUGCACAAUGGGGGGAACCCUGAUGCAGCGACGCCGCGUGGGUGAAGGAGCGUUUCGGUACGUAAAGCUCUAUCAGCAGGGAAGAAAAUGACGGUACCUGACCAAGAAGCCCCGGCGAACUCCGUGCCAGAAGCCGCGGUAAUACGUAGGGGGCAAGCGUUAUCCGGAUUUACUGGGUGUAAAGGGAGCGUAGACGGCCGCGCAAGUCAGGAGUGAAAUCCCAUGGCUUAACCAUGGAACUGCUUUGGAAACUGUGCAGCUAGAGUGCAGGAGAGGUAAGCGGAAUUCCUAGUGUAGCGGUGAAAUGCGUAGAUAUUAAGAAGAACACCGAUGGCGAAGGCAGCUUACUGGACUGUAACUGACGUUGAGGCUCGAAAGCGUGGGGAGCAAACAGGAUUAGAUACCCGUGUAGUC
rnacentral:rRNA from 1 species